UAAUCUGCCCUGUGGCGGGGGACAACAGUUCGAAAGGACUGCUAAUACCGCAUACGUCUCAAGGGACCUAGGGACCUUGGGAGAAAGGGGCGCCCGCAAGGGGCUCUCACCGCAGGAUGAGUCCGCGGCCCAUCAGCUAGUUGGCGGGGUAAAGGCCCACCAAGGCGAAGACGGGUAGCUGGUCUGAGAGGAUGAUCAGCCACACUGGGACUGAGACACGGCCCAG
rnacentral:rRNA from 1 species